GACGAACGCUGGCGGCGUGCCUAACACAUGCAAGUCGAACGGAGAACCAACUGUAGCAAUAUAGAUGGUUUUUAGUGGCGGACGGGUGAGUAACGCGUGAGGAACCUGCCUAGGAGUGGGGGAUAACACAGGGAAACCUGUGCUAAUACCGCAUAAUGCAAAGAGAUGGCAUCAUCUUUUUGUCAAAGAUUUAUCGCUCUUAGAUGGCCUCGCGUCUGAUUAGCUAGUUGGCGGGGUAACGGCCCACCAAGGCUGCGAUCAGUAGCCGGACUGAGAGGUUGAACGGCCACAUUGGGACUGAGACACGGCCCAGACUCCUACGGGAGGCAGCAGUGGGGAAUAUUGCGCAAUGGGGGAAACCCUGACGCAGCAACGCCGCGUGAAGGAUGAAGGUUUUCGGAUUGUAAACUUCUUUGACGAGGGACGAAAAAAAUGACGGUACCUCGAAAACAAGCCACGGCUAACUACGUG
rnacentral:rRNA from 1 species